rnacentral:lncRNA from 1 species
CUUCCCCUGAUUAUUAUGGUGUGUACUACUUAGUAUACUAGAACAGAAAUUUUAUUUCACCAAUAUUUACAGUUGUGCCAUCUGUAAGUUCCAACUUAUAGAGGUAAAAAAAAUUAAGUUUUGAUAUUUUGAAAUCAUCCAAGUGUAUCUGAAGUCCUAACUUUCUAUCAAACAGAGGUAAAACCCCAGAUUUUAAAAUGUGUUAGGUAAUCACUUUAUGACUAGGGUAUUUUACACACUGAAUUUUGGUUUUGCAAAAAAUUAAGCUAGCGCCAGUUUUUUGGCUGAGGAAGAAGGUUUUUAUGACCAGAAAGUUAACUUAAACAGCUGACAAUGGCCUAAAUGAUUUCCCUAUUUAACUGGUUUAGAAUUGUGGUUUUUAUAGAUCAAUCCAAAUAAAAAUCCAAUUGACAUUGAC